ensembl:lncRNA
CUCACUUUGUCUGGAUGACAGAGCCAUUCACCAAACUCAUUAUUUUGACCACACAGGGAGUGCAGCCAGCAAAGUGGGAGUGUAUUCACACCUCUGGUUGCGGGAGAGAAGACACAAGGACUUCUAAUUUCUUUGAUGGCACAGGAACAGUGGCAUCACAGAGCCUCGUGAUGGAUGAGCCGGUACUGGACCUGAGGCCGGUCUGGCGGAGGGAGGGAUGUUGGCAGCGCAGGAGCCUCCGGGAACGGUGCGUCCGACAGCACUUUCAGGUGAGGAGUCACCUUGUGGCCGAAGGAGCAGUCGCUCCUUCUGCCACUUCAGCAGCUCGUUCUGCUCUCCCUGCUGGCAGUACUGGAACAGCAGCCACACCAGCCAGCCGACAUCAUUCUCCACAAGCCACCUGAAGGUCUGACCGGCGUACUACCCGAACGUGAUGACCAGCUGACCUUUCCACAGCUCAGCCCCCGACCUCUUGGCAGCCGCCUCUGCUGUCUUGAGAUCCAGCCAUUUAGGGUCAACAACAGUGCUGCUGCGGGCCUCUGCCACAGACCUUGCUGCCUCUGUACAGUACAG